CGCAGAUCCCGAGAAUCCAGCAGGGUCUCCGGGUAUGAGUCUGGUUGUCCCUCACCAGGACGAUCCCGCCUGGCUAUGAUAUCAUCUCUCACUUCCUGCCAGCCAGUGAUCUCAGCCACACUUGGAGCAGUCAGCGGGGCCCCCGGGGUUACCGAGCGCUUCCUGGAGGCCAGGCAGUGUCUGAGCACUUCGUAUCCACUGAUAGGUUUAAUCUCCCAACAACUGAAGAGGAUAAGCCACACGACGGCAACCUUUUCCUCUGCUGCAGCCCCAGUGCCAAGAACAACACCAAGCGUACUGCAGAGACAAGCUGUUUGUGAAUGAAGGCAUAAGUGCCCAUUUUCCGCAAGAGAAAGUUGUGGCUCAGUGGGGCCAGGUACAGAGGAUGACAAGGUCCCGGAGGAUGGGGGAGCCACAGGAAGGGGGAGCCUGGGUCCCUGCAUCACUGCAUGGAGAGUCGUCUACCGACCAGGAACACCCACUGGGACUAUUCACGAGUGAGAAAUAAAUUUCUAUGGUGUCUGAGC
rnacentral:lncRNA from 1 species